CUUCCAUCAAUCCUGCAGGUUGUGAAAAAACACGCAUGUUGCCUUCAAUGAAGGACAGAUGUCGAGCAAUGAAUCGAUCCACUCGAAUAGGCAAGUGUUCAUGCUUGAAAAGGCUGCGUUUGAUGUUUUUAAACUCGGCUUCGACAUUGGCUGAACUUGCAGUGAUUUUGGAGCUCCGGAAGUGAGGGAUCAUUACCCCUGUCCAGAGAGGUCUGUCUGUGUUUGGUCACAUGGAUCCACUUCUUCCAGGUCCGCACCCUCUACAUCUGGAAUGAUGACACACUCUUCUGCAAUUCUGGCUUUUAGCAGUCCCACCGGCAGAUCAUCUUGAUGCAGUGAGCAACAUCAACCCGCACGAAACAAGCAUUUGCACCACUGGGACACUUGAGCUCUCACCCCCUGCCACAACACCCUGAUAAAGGAAUAUAUGGCCAGACUUGCCAUUUGGUCUCUGUAGUUUCCUCACCACUGAGCCAGUUGCAUCAAAACUCACAGUGGGGUUAGUAGAUGUCUUUAAUAAUGUCUUGUACAUAUACAUUUGUGUUUGGCUCCAAUAGUGACAAAAACACUUGUCUAGUCCAAUGUCUUUAAUGCUACCACUGUGAGGGGCACUGUAUUUUAGCAUCUGCAAUGACAGAAUAGGAUCCUUGUCGCCUAAUUCCAAAUCAUUUCUCUCCUGCUUUGCUUUGCGCAGGGUGGCCAAAUUAGGCCGAUGACUUGGCUCAGGAUCUCCAAAAUCCAUCAGCUUUAUUGCCUCUGAUGCCCUCCAUACAUGGGGUUCCUUUCUACCUUCACACAGUUCUUUGGAUAUCUGCACACGCAAGUUACCAGACAUCGGACGUUUGGAACAGCCAGUGUGCAGGGAGUCAUCAGUGUUUUUAAGCGAACACCUGAACAUCAUUGUGCUGUUUAUUUCAGGCUUUUUGUCACAUUUUAUGUGAAUUUGGCCACGACACUCCUUACAGUUGCCUCUGAUUACAAUAUAUUUGUCUGUGACUGAUGGAUAGACCUUGGCUCUUUUAAAAGUAAAUGUGCAGGGGCAUUUCACUUCUUGCCAAAUGUGAUGAUUUAUCACAUGCGUCCAGAUACCAGGCUUCAAAAUUGUGUAUUCCCUUUUUUUUGUUUUAGAGAACUUGUUUUUGUAUGUCACUGUUUCAGGCAUAAAUUCAAUCCAUUUCUGAAAUGGAACUUCAAAAUCAAAAUUGCAGCAAUCUUUUGGACUGGAGGAAAGGGACCCUGGCUCAAAAUCAGUGUCAUCAC